rnacentral:rRNA from 1 species
UACGGAGGAUCCGAGCGUUAUCCGGAUUUAUUGGGUUUAAAGGGUGCGUAGGCGGCCUUUUAAGUCAGCGGUGAAAGUCUGUGGCUCAACCAUAGAAUUGCCGUUGAAACUGGGGGCCUUGAGUGGGCGAGAAGAAGGCGGAAUGCGUGGUGUAGCGGUGAAAUGCAUAGAUAUCACGCAGAACCCCGAUUGCGAAGGCAGCCUUCCGGCGCCCUACUGACGCUGAGGCACGAAAGUGCGGGGAUCGAACAGG